rnacentral:lncRNA from 1 species
UGGUGGCUCAUGCCUGUAGUCCCAGCACUUUGGGAAGCCCAGGCAGGAGGAUCACUUGAGCCCAGGAGUUCAAGACCAGCCUGGGCAACAUAGUGAAACCCCGUCUCCACAAGAACAUGGAGAGAAUGGGUUUUUAUUUAUUAUUAUUAUUAUUAUUAUUUUGAGACAGAGUUUUGCUCUUGUUGCCCAGGCUGGAGUGCAAUACAUACUUCUGAAAAGGUAAGAAUCUUCUCACAGUAACAGUUCUCAUUUACCCUAAAGCCAAGUAUAAAAGGUCUUAUUAAGCAUCGACUUUUAGGAUUCUGGGAGCUCUAGAAAUGUACCAUAUAAUUGCAGGGCAGCAUGACAUUAUACUACAAGGACUGGCGGAUCUGUGACACUGGCCUUCAGGGAAAGAGACGCAAGAGUCAUAGUUACUGACCUGC